rnacentral:tRNA from 1 species
CAGGGAGACAACAAAAUGUUUAAUAUUAUUAUUUUGUCACCUUAGGUCGAUCGGUAUCUCACAUUCUUAAUUUAUUAAGGAUUUUAUUUCCUAAGUUUUUUCUAGGUCACACCCAUUACUUUUCCUGGGCCAUUAGCUCAGGUGGUUAGAGCGCACCCCUGAUAAGGGUGAGGUCCCUGGUUCAAGUCCAGGAUGGCCCAUAUCUCUAUGUUGGGGGUAUAGCUCAGUUGGUAGAGCGCCUGCUUUGCAAGCAGGAUGUCAGCGGUUCGAGUCCGCUUACCUCCACUGAUUACCACCUCUUCCAUAAUUAUUAAGGAAAUGUUUUGAGUAGUGAUCAAAUUCUGAACGAAUCUAGCUUCCUAAUGAAUUCAUUAAGAUGCUGGACUCAUUGAAUUAUUUUCAUUGUUUUCAGAGAACCUUGACAACUGCAUAGAUUAUUUUUAAAGACAAUAAGCAUCUUUAUGAUGCAGAUUUAUUAUUUGUGCGAAUGCAUUAAUAACAAUUCUAUUAAGCUGAUGCUUCAAUUAUGAAGUUAUU